rnacentral:rRNA from 1 species
GAUCCUGGCUCAGGAUGAACGCUAGCGACAGGCUUAACACAUGCAAGUCGAGGGGCAGCGGGUAGUAGCAAUACUCUGCCGGCGACCGGCGCACGGGUGAGUAACGCGUAUGCAACUUGCCUAUCAGAGGAGAAUAGCUCAUCGAAAGAUGAAUUAAUGCUCCAUAAAACAGGGGUUCCGCAUGGGAAUAUUUGUUAAAGAAUUCAUCGCUGAUAGAUAGGC